ensembl:lncRNA LINC02693 long intergenic non-protein coding RNA 2693
AAUGCGCAUGCGCGAGGAGCGAGCCGCUUCUCCCCAUCACAGCGAUUCCCAGGGUUGUCAUAGAAACCACUCCCUGGGGCUUGGCAAAGCAGGAGCCCUCCGUGGCAGGGCUUCGGUGUCGGGGCUCCGAGGCUCCGGCCUGACUUCUCCACGGGGUCCACAGGAGCGUCUCCGGAUGCCAGGACCUGAAAUGGGCCGACCAGGAUGAGGAAACCACAGGCAGAGGCCGGGGAAGCAGCGCGGCAUCCCAUCCUCAGGCCUGCCCGGACGGUGUUCGGGAUCAAGAGGACCACACUCCAGCCCAGGACAAAAGCCCCACGGUAGCACAUUGUCCGGCAGGAGAGGAGCAGACCCACGUCCAAGAAGAUGGUUGUACCUUUCCACGCCUCUUCUCUGCGAAAUGAAGCCACACCAUGACACAAUCUUGAAGAGGAAGCCGGGAAUGGGAGACGGCAACAAUCCCUGUCCCUGGAACGCUGGCCUCUAUGGACAAGCCACCCGCUUCGCACCCCUCCCCUUAUGCCCGUGGCGGUGGCACGGCGCCGUAUCCUGCCUGGGCUCUGGCCUCUGCUCUGUCCUCCCUCUUCCACUGUCUCCCCUGUUUCUCAGCGGCCUAGAUGCCUCUUGGUCUGGCUGAAUAUCUUCUAUGAAGAUCACUUCCCCGUCCAUCAGGGAGACAAUUCCUGGAGAUUCGUGUCAUGACUGUUUCUCUCUCCAAACCUGUUUCUGCUGGAUUGCGCAGGUCUGAUGACCCUGGAGCUCUUGGCUUCCAUACGUGUCUCAGACAGAAUCAUCUCCCCUGCCCCACAAACAUGAAAGAAAAGACAAGAGAAGCACCCCAGAAGAGGAGGGGAGAAGUGCCCCAGAAAAAAUCAUCCAGUCUCUGAAGCUUUGCCCAGGAUCCAUUGCUGCAGCUUCCUGAAGUUGUGUCCGUUAAAAGGCAGGGACCCGGUGUCCAGGCUACAGAGGGUGACUCCAGGUUCCACACCACCACUGUGGACCAGUGUGCCUAUGGACUUAGGAGAGUUCCCAGAUCGCACAAGGGGGCUGCCCCAGAGGGUGUUCAGCUUGUUGCCAACAGUUGCUGAAGCCAAAGUCUGCAACCUUGAUGUUCAGGUCAAGUAGCCAGAAACAGGUGUUCUGGCUUUAGGUCCCUGUGGACAAUGCCAUUCUCUCCUUCCCAGGCUACUGAUGUCCUGGGUUGCUCCUCUUAUGGUAGAAGCUCAAGAUGGAAUGGCUGGAGCUUGGCUGCCUCCGGUUAGAGCCUGGGCUCUGUAUUGCAGACAUCACCUGGCAGAAUUCCUCAUGGGCCCCUUUUGUCGUGGGUGCGACUGCUGGGCCAGGGUUGUCGUGGGUAGUAAAGGUAUUUACCAAGACAACCGUGAGUAAAGAAAGGCAAAUUUAUUACAGAAACUAUGAAAAUACAUUGCAAGAAUGCAACAUGCAGCACAGCAGAGAAGGGGCUGUCUGCAAAGAUAAAGGGCUGGAGGGAAGUUUUCUAAGGUUGUGCUGGACGGCGCUAUGUGCAGGUGAGCUUGUGCUAUAUGCUAAGAAUAUGUUGGAAUAAUUUUAACUGCCAGACCUUUCCUCUUCUGGUGCCCGAGGGAAACGCCCUGCUGCUUUUAGCUGUCUUGUAACCCACACGCCUUUUCACUUCUGAAGUUGCAAGAAUAACGGCUGUGGUUUUUCACACAAAAGGGUUGCAGACUGGGUUAGGUCCCUGUUCCGCCAACCUGGCUGUUUCCCAGUUUCAGUUAACUUAGUGGUUUACUAGAGCCCCACACCUUUCUCUUUCAUAUGGCCAUGAUCCAGGAGGUAAUCCGUCACCUCCCCUCCACUAGAGUGCUCCAUGGCCAGGGAUAAUCCGUCACCUCCCCUCCACCAGAGUGCUCCAUGGCCAGGGGUAAUCCUCACCUCUCCUCCGCUAGAGUGUUCCAUGGCCAGGCAGUGUUUCCUGGGUCCAGAGCACCUCAAACAAUUUCAGUGUUGUGGUGACUCAGGGCCUUCACCAUACAGACUUGACAGCAUAGUCUAGAGGCUGGAGGGGCUCUGUGACUCCCAUUAAUGACAGUCACUGCCACGGUUUCCCCAGGCAGGAUGUGCCAGGAGAACUGCUCCAUGUUGGCUCAGCAGAAUGUUAUUAUAGGUAGCUCAAAAAGAGAGGGAACAGGGCUUCUCUAGAUUAUUUCAGGGAACGAGCUAUUAUUUGAAUGUUAAUUUAAGACUAUUUUAUCAAUUAAAAAUGUAAGGCCCAAGAAACUUCAGUGAGGAAGAAUGAACAAAUUGAAUAAAUACUGUUAAACUUU